rnacentral:rRNA from 1 species
ACUGCGCGGUAAUUCCAGCUCCAAUAGCGUAUAUUAAAAUGCUGCAGUUAAAACGCUCGUAGUCGGAUUUCGGGGCGGGUCCGCCGGUCUGCCGAUGGGUAUGCACUGGCUGGCGCGUCUUUCUUCCCGGAGACCGCGCCUACUCAUAAUUGAGCGGGCGCGGGAGACGGGACGUUUACUUUGAAAAAAACAGAGUGUUUCAAGCAGGCCGUCGCUCUUGCAUGGGAUGAUGCAACAGGACUCUCGUGCUAUUUUGUUUGUUUUGAACACCGGAGCAAUGAUUGACAGGGACAGUCAGGGACAGUAUUCCGUCGGAGAGGUGAAAUUCUCAGACCAGCGGAAGCCGAACCACUGCGGAAGCAUUUGCCAGGGAUGUUUUCACUGAUC